UCGGGAAUUUUGGGCAAUGGGCGAAAGCCUGACCCAGCAACGCCGCGUGAGGGAUGAAGUAUUUCGGUAUGUAAACCUCGAAAGAAUGGGAAGAAUAAAUUACGGUACCAUUUAUAAGCUCCGGCUAACUACGUGCCAGCAGCCGCGGUAAUACGUAGGGAGCAAGCGUUGUUCGGAUUUACUGGGCGUAAAGGGCGCGUAGGCGGCGCGGUAAGUCACUUGUGAAAUCUCUGAGCUUAACUCAGAACGGCCAAGUGAUACUGCUGUGCUAGAGUGCGGAAGAGGCAACCGGAAUUCUCGGUGUAGCGGUGAAAUGCGUAGAUAUCAAGAGGAACACCUGAGGCGAAGGCGGGUUGCUGGGCCGACACUGACGCUGAUGCGCGAAAGCCAGGGGAGCAAACG
rnacentral:rRNA from 1 species